rnacentral:rRNA from 1 species
GUGCCAGCAGCCGCGGUAAUACGGAGGGUGCAAGCGUUAAUCGGAAUUACUGGGCGUAAAGCGCACGCAGGCGGUCUGUCAAGUCGGAUGUGAAAUCCCCGGGCUCAACCUGGGAACUGCAUUCGAAACUGGCAGGCUAGAGUCUUGUAGAGGGGGGUAGAAUUCCAGGUGUAGCGGUGAAAUGCGUAGAGAUCUGGAGGAAUACCGGUGGCCGAAGCGGCCCCCUGGACAAAGACUGACGCUCAAGUGCGAAAGCGUGGGGGAGCAAACAGGGAUUUAAGAUUCCCCUUGG